GCGAACGCUGGGCAAGGGGCCGCGGUAAUACAGAGGUGGCAAGCGUUGUUCGGAAGUACGGGGCGUAAAGGGGGAGUAGGUGGCCUUCUAAGUCAGACGUGAAAUCCCCCGGCUUAACCUGGGAACUGCGUCUGAUACUGGAAGGCUUGAGUAUGGGAGAGGGAUGCAGAAUUCCAGGUGUAGCGGUGAAAUGCGUAGAUAUCUGGAGGAAUACCGGUGGCGAAGGCGGCAUCCUGGACCAUAACUGACACUGAAUCGCGAAAGCUAGGGGAGCAAACGGGAUUAGAUACCCCGGUAGUC
rnacentral:rRNA from 1 species